GUGAUCCCUGCAGCACUGUGUAAUUAUUCAUUUCUAGGUUAUGCUGGGACUUGUAGUGGUUUAGUGUUCCUGUUUAUAACUAUUCGUUUAUAGCGGCAUUCUCCCAUUUAGAACAGUGAUGACAUUUCACCUGUUCUCUAAUAAAACCCCAGCAAAAUCCCUGUAUGAUCCCAACCUCGGACCCCUGUAUUUAUUGAGCUCAAUCAGCUGCUGGAUGCCAUGAUGACAUCAUCAGAUGCAGAUGUGAUGUCACAAUAGAACAGAACAGCAAAAUCCUGCUGAUCUGGAGACCGAGCCUCACACUACGGUGAUUCGACAGAGAAAGAGGAUGGACUUAAAAACGACUUUGUUGUUGCUGGCGGCGGGGGUGUUUUGGGCGGCUUUAUUGCUGACUUUCUUAUACCUGUAUUUUUGCCACCGGAAUAAUAAUAAGGAAAUAAAAUAUUCUAAACUGGAAGAGGUUGUGGUGGAGGCGAAAGGAGAGACUGAAAAAGGAAAAAAAGCUAAUGACCUAAAGCAGAUGGAGGAGGACGGCGGAGAGUGAACUCAUCUGCAGAGGAUCUGAACAGCUGGGAGUUUGGGGAAAGGGAAAAAUAUAAAAGGGGAGUAAAAAAAAAAUCAAAAAAAUAUAAAAAUAAUAAAAAAAAAUAGAAAAUAAUCUGAAAAAAAUAAAAAAAAAUAAAAAAAAAAUCUAAAAAUAUAUAAAAAAAAUAAACCAAAAAAUUAUAAGAUGA